rnacentral:rRNA from 1 species
CGGAAAAGAUAAGCGCUGAAAGCAUCUAAGCGCGAAACUUGCCUCAAGAUGAGUCUUCCCUGGACCUUUAAGGUCCCUGAAGGAACGUUUAAGACUAAGACGUUGAUAGGCUGGGUGUGUAAGUGCAGCGAUGCAUUGAGCUAACCAGUACUAAUGAUCCGUGAGGCUUAACCUUACAACACCGAAGGUGUUU